rnacentral:lncRNA from 1 species
ACCCGGUAAAAGCAACAUCAAAUGGACAAUUUCCUGCCUACAGACACCAUUACACAUAGAAAGGGACCGACAUGGACGGGCCACGCAACAAAAUUCCAUGGGUUUAUGUAUUAUUGUGAUGUGUCAUCAAGAUUCUUGCAGGCAUGACUCUCAUUUACAAUGUCUUCAUCAACCGUUCCAAUAAUUUGUGGUUGUAUGGCCUAUUGAAUUAUAAGCGCUUUUGAUAUUAUAUGUGGUCUAGCAUCAUAUAUGAAGGUAGCUAAUCUAUCUAUGAAAUGGCUCUAGUUCUAG